rnacentral:lncRNA from 1 species
UUUGCAACUGUGUCUAAGCUUUAGCUCCACAAUCUCCCUAGAAAAGAAGGGUGAGAUUUAUCUUUUGAAGUCGGAGGAUCCCCAUGCUUCUGGAGGAUAAGGACAAUUCUCUCAUUUCCUGGGGUAGCUUGCAAUGUUUCCCAGUUGGAUGGCAGGUGGCACCUCUGUGGAAGGCGGGGCUGGCUCGAGGCAGGUGGGAAGGUGUGUGGUUGCAGGUUUCCUCCUGCCAUUUCGCUCGGAGAUCUGGCAUGGUGCGAAUGUGCUCCGGGACUUGGGGCGAAGCGGACUGCCCUCGAACACACCAGGGGAGGUGGGAUUCUUGUCAGCAGAGCAGCUGGAGAAUGGAAUUGGUGGUCGGGGAAGCUGCCUUGGCCAACGGUGCCCUCGGAGGUGGGACUCGCCUCCUUAGCCCCCCGAGCCGCUGCUGCGGAGCCUCGCACUCAACCCAGCCAGGUCCUCGAGGGGAGCUAAGCAGCUGGAAUCGCCUUACAGUUCAGCUCAAGCGAGGGCGAGUUUCCCACGCUGCUCAGUUUGCACCUGCCCCAUUUCCUUUCCAAAUCCAGGCAAGAGUCGUCGCCUCCGUGGCUGCUUGGCAACAGCGGCAAAUUCAGUGGGUGCAGAGCGAGGCCCCAGUGGGAUCGUGUAGUCCCCAGACCCCAGGAAGUGGCCCCCCUUUGAGCUAUCCUUUCCCCCACGCUCACGACAGGAUGCUGUCCACCUCGCUCGCCGCGGAGGUGGCCUUCUUGGGCCAGCGUGCCUGUUGGCUUGGCUCCGCACCCGGCGUUCGCAGCCAGGCGAAAAGCCGUACUGUGGACUCGGCACCCGGAAAAGCUUCCUGCUCCCCGUCGCCAUGGCUCCGGCCUGCCGUUCCGCAGACUCCAGAUGGGCUUGGGCCAGGGCUUGUCUCAGCAGCGGCUUUCUUCUCACGCUCCUCCAUAGAGAUCAGCUUCACGGAGCAACCAAGGAAAGGUUAUCCCAUGGAUGGCUUCCCCGUCGCCAGCUCUUUCGGAGGGGCUCUCCGCCUGCUGUCCUCUUCAUUCAGUCACGGAGGUUUUGGGCACAGAGUGGGCGGCUUCUCUAGGUGGCAUUGCAGCUUAUCACAUCGUCAUAAUGGAUUCAUUGGUCCCUUUUGGAGUUUGGGAUAUUUUGGUCCUUCGCAUAACUUUAUCUUGGCGUCGUUUUGAUGCCUCCUUGAUGCUUGUCCAGGCAGGCUCUCCAGCAAACCCUGCGACC